GGGCGCCAUCUUAGCCGGCGCGGGCGCAAGCUCCUCGGGGUGGCCCGGGCCGCGGCGUCCCGGAGGGUCCCACCCAGCGCGACCCUCCGGCCUCGGGGCAGCAUUUGAGAUUCGGAACGGUCGAGCGACUUGCAGUCAGAAGGUGGUGAAGUUAAAAGGGAACCAGAAUUUUCCUGACACCCUACCCGCUGCUGAACAGAAAGCCGGGACACCCACCCAGGCCUGGCUGAUGUCAAUAAAUGGCUCCCCAGGAGAAAUGAAAGAGCGGUGAAGAAGAAGGGGAGAGUGUGGAUGAGAAGGGUGAAGGGAGCGUUGGUGGGGCACAGUAUCUACUGCAGGACAGUUCCCGGUGGUCAGUCAGAUCAGAGUCCCAGGGGCCAUGGGGGACCACGAGGGGGAAGGUUACCAUCCAGAAACCCUCUCGUAGCUCAUUGUUUAAGGCAGAGGUUUUGAUUUAUUGUAGCUGCUAACUAUUGCACAGCUGACUGGAGAAGCCCUCGAGUAAUUAAAACUAAAGGCGUUGAAAUCAAAAUUUAUUCUUUCAUCCCCGUUAUUGACCUUUGAAGAACUUUCACUGGGGUGAAAAGGAACCCUCUCCAAGAUAGCCCAUGCACAUACACAUUCCAGUCUGGAUGCAGCCCCGCUUCAUCCAGCCCAGUGAACCGCACCACCAUCUACUGGUUUGCGGCAGCCAGAAACCUCAAGAUCCUCUUUGACUACACUUUCGCUUGACUUUAGGUGAAUAUAAAUGUUUUUCACUUUUUACUAUGGGAAAAUUAAAAAUAUAGGUGAAAGGAGAAAGAACAGUGUAAUGAACCCUCAUAUACCCAUCACUCAGUUUCAACAAUGAUCAACUCCUGGCCAAGAGUUUAUUAUUAUUUGACAAAUAUCUAUGAUAUAUGAAUCAUGUACCAAGUUCCACACUAGGUCCUAGGGAUCCAAAGAUGUAUCAGAUUUGAAUGUAACCCAAUCUGGAGGAUAUAACAUCUGGCCUGGGUCCUUGAUAGGUGAAUAAGAAUUAUCCAGAAAAAGAAAGUUGUCCUUAUUCAUUCAUUCAUUCUCUUUCAAUAAAUAAUUUUUAAUGUGUGAGGCACUGUCCUUGGUGCUAGGAACACAUAAAGAAACAAGAUUGUGUUUCUACCUUCUUAAAGCUUGAAUAAUGAGAAAGACAUUAAACGUGAUUAGAAAUGU